rnacentral:rRNA from 1 species
GACGUAGGGUGCGAGCGUUGUCCGGAUUUAUUGGGCGUAAAGAGCUCGUAGGCGGCUCGUCGCGUCGACCGUGAAAACCCGCGGCUUAACUGCGGGCUUGCGGUUGAUACGGGCGGGCUAGAGUUCGGUAGGGGAGACUGGGAUUCCUGGUGUAGCGGUGAAAUGCGCAGAUAUCAGGAGGAACACCGGUGGCGAAGGCGGGUCUCUGGGCCGAUACUGACGCUGAGGAGCGAAAGCGUGGGGAGCGAACAGG